rnacentral:rRNA from 1 species
CGAAGGAUGCAAGCGUUAUCCGGAUUCAUUGGGUUUAAAGGGUGCGUAGGCGGACUGAUAAGUCAGUGGUGAAAUCUCUCAGCUUAACUGAGAAACUGCCAUUGAUACUGUUAGUCUAGAGUAUAGAUGACGUUGGCGGAAUAUGACAUGUAGUGGUGAAAUACUUAGAUAUGUCAUAGAACACCGAUUGCGAAGGCAGCUAACGAAACUAUAACUGACGCUGAGGCACGAAAGUGCGGGGAUCAAACAGGAUUAGAUACCCUGGUAGUCCGCACCGUAAACGAUGAUUACUCGUUGUUGGCGAUAUGACAGUCAGCGACCAAGCGAAAGCGAUAAGUAAUCCACCUGGGGAGUACGCCGGCAACGGUG